AAAGUCGAAAUUAUGACCCGGACAUACCUUUACAAACAUUAAGUUAUAUGCAAUAUAAAAUUAGGUAACCCUGGUCCAGGUCAAAAUCCCGUCACCAAAAUGCCGACAGUUAAAAUUCCGAAUUGGUCGAAAUACCGACAUUCACAUACCGUACACUCGAAGAGGCUGCGUAUAGGCAAUUUUAAAAUCUGUUAACUUACUAUGGUACAUUUAUGUUUGGGUUUUUACAAGGACAAUGAGGCGCACUCAAGUAUUC